GUUUAGAACAAACUUGCACUCACAUUCCAUUAGAAAAUCCAAGCAUCAACGUCAAGAAUCCUUUCUUCAUCAAGAAAAACUCCAAAACAACAAUUCUACCAACCUCAAAAUGAAGGCCUUCUAUUCUUUCGCUCUCCUCAUCGCGGCUGCUCUCGUCUCUGCCGCACCCGCUGACAAGCCUGCUGGCAAACUCGUUCCCAAGGGUGAAGUUACUGGCGGCCGCGAGUACCUCUACUACGUUGUUCCCUCUGCCGAAGAUGAUAAGGCCUAUUAAGUGAAUACUCUGGCAACUCA
rnacentral:sRNA from 2 species